GUGGGAUAUGGUGACAUGUGUCCUUCCACCAUUGGAGGGAAAUUCGUUGGGUCGCUGUGCGCCAUCGCCGGUGUGCUGACCAUCGCGCUGCCCGUCCCGGUUAUCGUGUCAAAU
rfam:Takifugu rubripes chromosome, Chr_9